CACGUAUGCAAUUUGCCUUUAACUGGAGGAUAGCUUCGGGAAACCGUAAUUAAUACUCCAUAGUAUUCAAAAGACGCAUGUUUUUUGAAUUAAAGCUCCGGCGGUUAAAGAUAAGCAUGCGGGACAUUAGCUAGUUGGUAAGGUAACGGCUUACCAAGGCGACGAUGUCUAGGGGGUUUGAGAGGAUGAUCCCCCACACUGGUACUGAGACACGGACCAGACUCCUACGGGAGGCAGCAGUGAGGAAUAUUGGGCAAUGGGCGCAAGCCUGACCCAGCCAUGCCGCGUGCAGGAUGAAGGUCCUAUGGAUCGUAAACUGCUUUUGUAUGGGAAGAACUUCCCGCAUUCGUGCGGGAUUGACGGUACUAUACGAAUAAGGACCGGCUAACUCCGUGCCAGCAGCCGCGGUAAUACGGAGGGUCCAAGCGUUAUCCGGAUUCACUGGGUUUAAAGGGUGCGUAGGUGGAACGAUAAGUCGAUGGUGAAAGCCUACAGCUUAACUGUAGAAUUGCCAUUGAUACUGUUGUUCUUGGGUAUAGUCGGGGGAAGUGGAAUGCGUAAUGUAGCGGUGAAAUGCAUAGAUAUUACGCAGAACACCGAUCGCGAAAGCAGCUUCCUAGGCUAUUACUGACACUGAGGCACGAAAGCGUGGGGAGCGAACAGGAUUAGAUACCCUGGUAGUCCACGCCGUAAACGAUGCUCACUCGCUGUUGGCGAUAUAUUGUCAGCAGUUAAGCUAAAGCAUUAAGUGAGUCACCUGGGAAGUACGUCCGCAAGGAUGAAACUCAAAGGAAUUGACGGGGGCCCGCACAACCGGUGGAACAUGUGGUUCAAUUCGAUGAUACGCGAGGAACCUUACCUGGGCUUAAAUGUAGUUUGACUUCCGCCGAAAGGCGAUUUUCUUUCGGGACAAAUUACAAGGUGCUACACGGCUGUCGUCAGCUCGUGCCGUGAGGUAUCGGGUUAAGUCCC
rnacentral:rRNA from 1 species